GUCAGGGUCAUCUUGGUGAUGAUGGCCAGCAUGAUCUUCUCCCCUUUCGUCGGGUACGGGUUCUUCCGGUGCUCCUGCAGCCAGGCCUUCAGGGUGGCCGUGGCGUCCCUGGUGGCGUUCUUGCGGAUGGGAAUCCCGUGGUCGGAUCCGUGGAGUAUGACAGCGGACUGGAGAAGCCCGCACCGGCCGAGGCGGAGAAAGCGGCCGAUCCGGGGUAAGGACUGAAGGCUGAGCCAGAUGACGACCUCGCCAAGUCUUCAUUCCGCGGGGCAGCCAGAGCCGAGGCCCCGUAAGCCGGACACGAAUAAAGAGCCAGAGAGCCCGGGGGCUGGUAGAGGACAAACAAUCGCUAAAGACACAAUGACAAAAGGAUAAUGUGAUUUUGAAGGCUGCGGACCGUAAUGUGAGACACUACUGACACAGCGAGAUCCAACAAAUCGACCAAAGUCAGGUGGAGCAGACAGACAGAGAGAUGAUUUCCUUCACCCUCCUUCCCUCAGUACUACGAGUGUCUUCUCUCCUACACUCAGUCAAGGUCAAUUGAGUUCUCCAGUCUGUUAUCAGUGUGCUUUUUGAUGGAAUAGUGCAGAUAACAGAGUACUCAGAAAAAGAUGGAAGGAAACAGGAGAUCAAGAACUGCUGGUUCUGAAAUAAUUAUUGCACCAUCUCCACAUAGCAACAGAUUUAUUUCUAACCUUUAACAUACCGUAUCGCUCUCAACACAUUCAGCAGCGGGGCGGAUUUAUUGGACUAUUGGUUUGGAAACAGCUUGAAGUGUUUAACUGAUUUUACAGAAAAGUAAAUAUGGAUUUGGAAUGUUUGCUGUCCUUUCCUACUUUGAUUUAGCGCCGUAGAAUGUGACUCACUGACUAGGACUCAGUGUGGAUACAACAUUAGA